rnacentral:rRNA from 1 species
AUGUCACGCCGCGCACCAAGCUGCUGGUCGAGCAUCCCCUCCGAGCUCGCGGGGGUCGUGCUCCGCCGCCUCCCUUGCCAUGCCGACCGGGUCCGCUUCGCCGCCGUCUGCAAACAGUGGCGCGCCUCUGCGCGGCAGACCUCUCCGCCCCUGCACUACCCAUGGCUCGCCUUGCCCGACCGGACAUUCUACAGCCUGCCUGGCUCCGCCUUCCGGCCGCUGCCGCUCCACCUCGACCGCCACCGGCAGCUGCCGCACGCGCAGAGCUCCUGCGGCCAGUGGCUCGUGUUCGAGCGCUUCGACGGCGCCUACACGCUGGUCAGCCCCUUCUCCAUGUCCACCACCAUCCUGCUCCCCGGCCUCUCCGACACGUACGCCCCCAACGUGCCUCUCCGGGUCCCGCAAGACGAGCCCAAGCCGUAUAUGUUGAAGCUCGUCGUGUGCUCCGACGACCUCGUCGCCGCGAUCGUCGAUGACAACGAGGCAUGGACGUAUAGCAAGCUUGCCUUGUGCCGGCCAGGGGCGUCCUCGUGGUGGUCCAGCACACCCGACGAGCUUCGCCACCUCCAAGACAUUGUCUCGUGCGAGGGAAAGCUCUACGCCCUCGACAGCUGGGACGGGCUCUUCUCCGUGUCCAUCGCCACCGACAGGCGCACCGGCGAGCCGGCCGUGUCACGGGUCGACCACCUCAUGGGUAACCCCCGCCGGGGCCGGGUCCUCGGCGACUCGCCGCGAUACCUGCUAGAAUCCAGCGGAACGUUGCUGUUGGUCUGCAGGGAGGAUCCUAAGAGCAAGGCGGAGCGGACGACGAUAGGGGGGCGUCGGAUGUGGAGUGCGCUCGAGCUGCAGAUGGGGACCAAGUUCAGGGUGCUCGAGGCGGACUUGGCGCGGUCGCGGUGGGCGAGGCUGAGGAGCGUGGGCGACCGCCGGAUGCUGUUCGUCGGGCCAUGGUGCUCCCGAGCGGUUCAUGUUACCGCCGCCGCCGCCGAGCACGAGCAGGACUGUCUCUACACCGGGGAUCGUAUCUUCUUCACGGAGGACGCCAUCGCUGGGACAUACAAUCAUCGAUACUACCACAAACAACCGGAGCCCUUCUACUGCAGCGUCUACGACAUGAGGACGAGGCGGUCGGAGUUGUUCCUCGAGACGCCCGUGCGGCCGUUGAAAGGCUUCCCGGUCACGUGGCUAUUCCCUCCAACUCCAAGUCAGGGAUAG